GACGAACGCUGGCGGCGUGCUUAACACAUGCAAGUCGAACGGAGCGAAUGAAAGCUUGCUUUUAUGAGCUUAGUGGCAAACGGGGUGAGUAACACGUAGACAACCUGCCGAUAGGAUGGGGGACAACAUUCCGAAAGGAAUGCUAAUACCGAAUGGCGUGUAGGGGAGGCAUCUCCCGUACAUGAAAGAUGGCCUCUGAAUAUGCUAUCACCUAUCGAUGGGUCUGCGUCUGAUUAGCUAGUAGGUAAGGUAACGGCUUACCUAGGCGACGAUCAGUAGCCGGUCUGAGAGGAUGAACGGCCACAUUGGGACUGAGACACGGCCCAGACUUCCUACGGGAGGCAGCAGUGGGGAAUCUUCCGCAAUGGGCGCAAACUGACGGAGCAACGCCGCGUGAGUGAAGAAGGUCUUCGGAUCGUAAAGCUCUGUUGAAGGGGACGAACGAUCGAGGGGCGAACAGGCUCUCGGUAUGAC
rnacentral:rRNA from 1 species